UACAGAGGUCUCAAGCGUUGUUCGGAUUCAUUGGGCGUAAAGGGUGCGUAGGCGGCGCGGUAAGUCGGGUGUGAAAUCCGUCGGGCUUAACUACCGAAACUGCAUUCGAUACUGCCGUGCUUGAGGACUGGAGAGGAGUACUGGAAUUUACGGUGUAGCGGUGAAAUGCGUAGAUAUCGUAAGGAAGACCAGGUGGCGAAGGCGGGUCUCUGGACAGUUCCUGGACCGGCUGAGGCAACGGAAGGCCCAGGGGAGCAAACGGGA
rnacentral:rRNA from 1 species